AUGGCUCAGAUUGAACGCUGGCGGCAGGCCUAACACAUGCAAGUCGAACGGUAACAGGAAGCAGCUUGCUGCUUCGCUGACGAGUGGCGGACGGGUGAGUAAUGUCUGGGAAACUGCCUGAUGGAGGGGGAUAACUACUGGAAACGGUGGCUAAUACCGCAUAACGUCGCAAGACCAAAGAGGGGGACCUUCGGGCCUCUUGCCAUCAGA
rnacentral:rRNA from 1 species